rnacentral:rRNA from 1 species
AGCAGCCGCGGUAAUUCCAGCUCCAAUAGCGUAUAUUAAAGUUGUUGCAGUUAAAAAGCUCGUAGUUGAAUUUCGGGGUCAGUAGGUUGGUCGUGCCACCGGUACGUACUGGUCUCACUGAUUCCUCCUUCCUGAUGAGCUGUAAUGCCAUUAAUUUGGUGUUGCAGGGAAUCUGGACUGUUACUUUGAAAAAUUAGAGUGUUUAAAGCAGGCUAACGCUUGAAUACAUUAGCAUGGAAUAAUGAAAUAGGACGUCCGAUCCUAUUUUGUUGGUUUCUAGGAUUGACGUAAUGAUUAAUAGGGAUAGUUGGGGGCAGUUAGUAUUCAAUUGGCAGAGGUGAAAUUCUUGGAUUUUAUUGAAGACUAACUACUGCGAAAGCAUUUGCCAAGG